rnacentral:misc_RNA from 1 species
GUGAAUCAUCGAAUCUUUGAACGCACCUUGCGCCUUUUGGUAUUCCGAAAGGCAUGCCUGUUUCAGUGUCAUGAAAUCUCAAUCUAACAUGUUUUCUGAACAUGUUAGGCUUGGACAUGGGCGUCUGCCAGUGAUGGCUCGCCUCAAAUGACUUAGUGGAACAUCCCACAUCAGUGUUAGACGUAAUAAGUUUCGUCUCUCCUUGUGGUGAUGACUGCUCAGAACCUGCCAUCGCGCACCUUUUGACUUUGACCUGAAAUCAGGUAGGGCUACCCGCUGAACUUAAGCAUAUCAAUAAGCGGAGGA